CCUACGGGAGGCAUCAGUGAGGAAUAUUGGUCAAUGGACGAGAGUCUGAACCAGCCAAGUAGCGUGAAGGAUGACUGCCCUAUGGGUUGUAAACUUCUUUUAUAUGGGAAUAAAAUGUUCCACGUGUGGGAUUUUGUAUGUACCAUAUGAAUAAGGAUCGGCUAACUCCGUGCCAGCAGCCGCGGUAAUACGGAGGAUCCGAGCGUUAUCCGGAUUUAUUGGGUUUAAAGGGAGCGUAGGUGGAUUGUUAAGUCAGUUGUGAAAGUUUGCGGCUCAACCGUAAAAUUGCAGUUGAAACUGGCAGUCUUGAGUACAGUAGAGGUGGGCGGAAGUCGUGGUGUAGCGGUGAAAUGCUUAGAUAUCACGAAGAACUCCGAUUGCGAAGGCAGUUCACUGGACUGCAACUGACACUGAGGCUCGAAAGUGUGGGUAUCAAACAGGAUUAGAUACCCGGGUAGUC
rnacentral:rRNA from 1 species